UCCGGCUUGUCGCCGGCGGUCCCUCUAGAGUGCCCAACUGAAUGAUGGCAACUAAAGGCGAGGGUUGCGCUCGUUGCGGGACUUAACCCAACAUCUCACGACACGAGCUGACGACAGCCAUGCAGCACCUGUGUUACGGCUCCCUUUCGGGCACACCCCCAUCUCUGAGGGCUUCCGUACAUGUCAAGGGUAGGUAAGGUUUUUCGCGUUGCAUCGAAUUAAACCACAUCAUCCACCGCUUGUGCGGGUCCCCGUCAAUUCCUUUGAGUUUUAGCCUUGCGGCCGUACUCCCCAGGCGGGGCACUUAAUGCGUUAGCUACGGCACAGAUCCCGUUGGUUGAGACCCACACCUAGUGCCCAUCGUUUACGGCGUGGACUAC
rnacentral:misc_RNA from 1 species